AGUCGAGGGGCAGCACGAUGUAGCAAUACAUUGGUGGCGACCGGCGCACGGGUGAGUAACGCGUAUGCAACCUACCUAUCAGAGGGGAAUAACCCGGCGAAAGUCGGACUAAUACCGCAUAAAACAGGGGUUCCACAUGGAAAUAUUUGCUAAAGAAUUAUCGCUGAUAGAUGGGCAUGCGUUCCAUUAGAUAGUUGGUGAGGUAACGGCUCACCAAGUCCACGAUGGAUAGGGGUUCUGAGAGGAAGGUCCCCCACACUGGUACUGAGACACGGACCAGACUCCUACGGGAGGCAGCAGUGAGGAAUAUUGGUCAAUGGGCGAGAGCCUGAACCAGCCAAGUCGCGUGAAGGAUGAAGGAUCUAUGGUUUGUAAACUUCUUUUAUAUGGGAAUAAAGUGAGGAACGUGUUCCUUUUUGUAUGUACCAUAUGAAUAAGCAUCGGCUAACUCCGUGCCAGCAGCCGCGGUAAUACGGAGGAUGCGAGCGUUAUCCGGAUUUAUUGGGUUUAAAGGGUGCGUAGGUGGUUAAUUAAGUCAGCGGUGAAAGUUUGUGGCUCAACCAUAAAAUUGCCGUUGAAACUGGUUGACUUGAGUAUACUUGAGGUAGGCGGAAUGCGUGGUGUAGCGGUGAAAUGCAUAGGUAUCACGCAGAACUCCGAUUGCGAAGGCAGCUUACUAAACUAUAACUGACACUGAAGCACGAAAGCGUGGGGAUCAAACAGGAUUAGAUACCCUGGUAGUCCACGCAGUAAACGAUGAUUACUAGCUGUUUGCGAUACACAGUAAGCGGCACAGCGAAAGCGUUAAGUAAUCCACCUGGGGAGUACGCCGGCAACGGUGAAACUCAAAGGAAUUGACGGGGGCCCGCACAA
rnacentral:rRNA from 1 species